UGUACUUUUAUCGGUCCAGACUGAAUAUGCAGUGAAAUUAGCUGUGCUUUCUCUAAAAGUAUUACUCACUCCCCUGUUUCGUCACAUCCUUAAUAUCAAGGCAUUUACUUUUCAAAUAUUCGUAGGUUUCUCCAGUAUUGAUCUGUACAAGUACCCUAGUUAUUUCUCAAUUGCUAUCCAAGAUAUAUGGAGCAUUUUCAAAUGUCGAUACUGGCAUCCAGUGAGACCUUUAUGUUGCAAAUGGCUCUGAACAGCUAGCAGGCAUCAUCAACCUCAAUAUGCUACUCUGGUGGGAAGGUGAAUGAGGUACCUGUAAUAAGAAUUUACGGCUCUACUCCAGCCGGUCAGAAAGCUUGUCUGCACAUUCACAGACCAUUACCAUACCUAUUUGUGCCGUGCAAAGAUAUACCGAUUCAACCACAUCAGAAAGGUGAUUCGUACACAUAUGAUAUAUCUCUUGCAUUAGAGAAAGCUUUGAAGGCAAAAGCAGUGCUGGUUCAAAACGACAACAUGUACAUGGUUGCAGCCUUGUCCAGGCAAGGAAGCUUUACGGUUACCAUUCAUCAGAGGAGGUGUUUGUGAAGAUAUACCUGUAUCCUUCAGUCAUUCUUGAUUUAUUUUCUUAGCGGUCCAGGAAUUUUUUAUGUGACAAUCUUGUAUGUUGCUGGAUAUUGAAAUUCUUAAAUAACUCAUUAAAAAUUUCAUCAUCCUUGGCAGGAACUUGACCAUGUUGUGGAAGAACUGGAGAAAAUUGCUGUUGUCAAUCUUCUUCAGCACCGAUCAAUAAUAUCUCUCAUUGGAAAUGUGCAGAAAUCAUCACUAAUAUUAGAGAAGCUGUUGUACUGUGUU